rnacentral:lncRNA from 1 species
ACACCCUGUGCUAGAAAACUGGCUGAGAAACUGCACUAUGAACUUUGUUUCUAACAAUUCUGCUGCUGCGCUUUGACUGAUGUUCCACCAACAAAUCAGAUCAUAGUUUGUACUUCUAAUUGCAGCCACUGUAACAGUAUCUUUACGCAGUCUUUCCAUUCCAUCUCAAGAGUGUCCUCCUAGCCUCGCCUUUUUCCUAUUUAAUAUCUCCUGCACAACCUCUUCAGAAAUAAUUGGUAGUUUGAAAUGAGCUGAACUUAUGCUGCAAGGGGAGAUUCUGGAGCACAGAUAUCGUGGGUGGGAUUUCCACGCCCAGUCUGUGGAGACAGCACAUAACCUGGGUCAAAAAAGGCAAGAGGAAGAAAAGAGCCGUCUCCCUGAAUAUUGUGUCUUCAGUAAUACCAGACUGGACCCAUGCUGAUAACCAUCUUGCAACACAGAAGGCAACCUCUUAAUAAACACUAAAC